rnacentral:rRNA from 1 species
UACUGCCUGUUCUGAGCAUUUCCAUCACUUCCCGGUUUUGAUCUUUACCGGUUGAGAUCGGGGAUUGAUAAUUUUACUUUGAAAAAAUUAGAGUGCUCAAAGCAUGCGUGACGCAUGAAUAAUGGUGCAUGGAAUAAUGGAAUAGGACCUCGGUUCUAUUUUGUUGGUUUUCGGAACACGAGGUAAUGAUUAAGAGGGACAGACGGGGGCAUUCGUAUUGCGACGCUAGAGGUGAAAUUCUUGGACCGUCGCAAGACGAACUACUGCGAAAGCAUUUGCCAAGAAUGUUUCCAUUAAUCAAGAACGAAAGUUAGAGGUUCGAAGGCGAUCAGAUACCGCCCUAGUUCUAACCAUAAACGAUGCCAGCCAGCGAUCCGGCUGUGUUCCUCAAAUGACACGCCGGGCAGCUUCCGGGAAACCAAAGCUUUUGGGUUCCGGGGGAAGUAUGGUUGCAAAGCUGAAACUUAAAGGAAUUGACGGAAGCGCACCACCAGGAAUGGAGCCUGCGGCUUAAUUUGACUCAACACGGGAAAGCUUACCCGGAUAGGACACAGGAAGGAUUGACAGAUUAAGAGCUCUUUCUUGAUUCUGUGGAAGGUGGUGCAUGGCCAUUCUUAGUUGGUGGAGUGAUUUGUCUGGUUAAUUCCGAUAACGAUCGAGACUCUAGCCUACUAAAUAGACGUUCCGAUUCUUGUUGUCGGACGUUCUUCUUAGAGGGACACGCGGCGUUUAGCCGCACGAGACAGAGCAAUAGUAGGUCUGUGAUGCCCUUAGAUGUCCGGGGCCGCACGCGCGCUACAUUGAAGGAAUCAGCGUGUGCUUUCCCUGUCCGACAGGACUGGGUAACCCGUUGAACCUCCUUCGUGCUUGGGAUAGGUGAUUGUAAUUGUCCGCCUUGAACGAGGAAUUCCCAGUAAGCACGAGUCAUCAGCUCGUGUUGAUUACGUCCCUGCGCUUUGUGCACACCGCCCGUCGCUACAUCCGAUGGAAUGAUUUAGUGAGGUCUUCGGACUGGCGCUCGGAUUGGCCCUCGGGUCGAGCCGAAGUGCCGGAAAGAUGACCGAAC